GGGAUUGUGGCUUAGUGGUAUAGCAUUUGCUUAGCAUGCAUAAGGCCCUGGGUUUGAUUCCCCAGCAUUGCUA
rnacentral:tRNA from 1 species